UACGGGGGGGGCAAGCGUUGUUCGGAAUUACUGGGCGUAAAGGGCUCGUAGGUGGCCAACUAAGUCAGACGUGAAAUCCCUCGGCUUAACCGGGGAACUGCGUCUGAUACUGGAUGGCUUGAGGUUGGGAGAGGGAUGCGGAAUUCCAGGUGUAGCGGUGAAAUGCGUAGAUAUCUGGAGGAACACCGGUGGCGAAGGCGGUCAGCUGGUCCGUUACUGACACUAAAGCACGAAAGCGUGGGUAGCAAACAGG
rnacentral:rRNA from 1 species